rnacentral:rRNA from 1 species
AAUGAACGCUGGCGGCAUGCCUAACACAUGCAAGUCGAACGAAGGCUUCGGCCUUAGUGGCGCACGGGUGCGUAACGCGUGGGAAUCUGCCCUUGGGUUCGGAAUAACUGCUAGAAAUGACUGCUAAUACCGGAUGAUGUCGUAAGACCAAAGAUUUAUCGCCCAGGGAUGAGCCCGCGUAGGAUUAGCUAGUUGGUAGGGUAAAGGCCUACCAAGGCGACGAUCCUUAGCUGGUCUGAGAGGAUGAUCAGCCACACUGGGACUGAGACACGGCCCAGACUCCUACGGGAAGCAGCAGUGGGGAAUAUUGGACAAUGGGCGAAAGCCUGAUCCAGCAAUGCCGCGUGAGUGAUGAAGGCCUUAGGGUUGUAAAGCUCUUUUACCCGGGAUGAUAAUGACAGUACCGGGAGAAUAAGCUCCGGCUAACUUCGUG